CACGUAGUUAGCCGGCGCUUCUUCUGCAGGUACCGUCACUUUCGCUUCUUCCCUACUGAAAGAGGUUUACAACCCGAAGGCCGUCAUCCCUCACGCGGCGUCGCUGCAUCAGGCUUUCGCCCAUUGUGCAAUAUUCCCCACUGCUGCCUCCCGUAGGAGUCUGGGCCGUGUCUCAGUCCCAGUGUGGCCGGCCACCCUCUCAGGCCGGCUACCCGUCGUCGCCUUGGUGGGCCAUUACCCCACAACAAGCUGAUAGGCCGCGAGUCCAUCCCCCACCGAUAAAUCUUUCCACCACCUCCCAUGCGGAAGGAAGUGAAUAUCCGGUAUUAGACCCAGUUUCCCGGGCUUAUCCCAGAGUCGGGGCAGGUUACUCACGUGUUACUCACCCGUUCGCCACUAAUCCACCCGGUGCAAGCACCAAGAUCAUCGUUCGACUUGCAUGUGUUAAGCACGCCGCCAGCGUUCAUCCUGACGCCAGGAUCAAACUCU
rnacentral:rRNA from 1 species